AUGGCAAUGAGGCUGAUUGCACUCCUGCAAAGCACCCUGCUGAAAACAAAUACGCAGCAAUCAAGGAUCACCUCCUCAGAACUUUUGAACUGUCAUACUGAAAGGGCCAACAGGCUCUUCUCCUUGUACAGGCUGGAGGACAGCAAGCCCUUCAGAGUUCAUGGAUAGAAUGCUGCAGCGGUGGCUACACUUUGUAUGUU